rnacentral:rRNA from 1 species
AUGCUUGGGAAUCUGGCUUAUGGAGGGGGAUAACUGUGGGAAACUGCAGCUAAUACCGCGUAUUCUCUGAGGAGGAAAGGGUGGGACCUUAGGGCCACCUGCCAUAAGAUGAGCCCAAGUGGGAUUAGGUAGUUGGUGGGGUAAAGGCCUACCAAGCCUGCGAUCUCUAGCUGGUCUGAGAGGAUGACCAGCCACACUGGAACUGAGACACGGUCCAGACUCCUACGGGAGGCAGCAGUGGGGAAUAUUGCGCAAUGGGGGGAACCCUGACGCAGCCAUGCCGCGUGAAUGAAGAAGGCCUUCGGGUUGUAAAGUUCUUUCGGUAAUGAGGAAGGGAUGUUGUUAAAUAGAUAGCAUCAUUGACGUUAAUUACAGAAGAAGCACCGGCUAACUCCGUGCCAGCAGCCGCGGUAAUACGGAGGGUGCGAGCGUUAAUCGGAAUAACUGGGCGUAAAGGGCACGCAGGCGGACUUUUAAGUGAGAUGUGAAAUCCCCGAGCUUAACUUGGGAACUGCAUUUCAGACUGG